rnacentral:rRNA from 1 species
UGUAGGAAGUCUUGACGGCAGCACGCCGCGUGAGUGAUGAGGUUCUUCGGAUCUGUAAAACUCUGUUGUCAGGGAAGAACAAGUACCGGAGUAACUGCCGGUACCUUGACGGUACCUGACCAGAAAGCCACGGCUAACUACAUGCCAGCAGCCGCGGUAAUAA